rnacentral:rRNA from 1 species
AGAGUUUGAUCAUGGCUCAGGAUGAACGCUAGCGGGAGGCCUAAUACAUGCAAGUUGAGCGGUAAGGUUCUUCGGAACCCUAGAGCGGCGCACGGGUGAGUAACGCGUACAUGACCUACCUUUAAGACUGGGAUAGCCCUGGGAAACUGGGAUUAAUACCGGAUGUGAUAAUAUGUAUAGAGAUGUAUUAUUAAAGUUGAGGCGCUUAGAGAUGGGUGUGCGUCUGAUUAGCUGGUUGGUAGGGUAACGGCCUACCAAGGCGACGAUCAGUAGGGGGCGUGAGAGCGUGGCCCCCCACACGGGUACUGAGACACGGACCCGACUCCUACGGGAGGCAGCAGUAAGGAAUAUUGGUCAAUGGACGGAAGUCUGAACCAGCCAUCCCGCGUGCAGGAAGAAGGUCCUAUGGAUUGUAAACUGCUUUUAGCAGAGACGAAGACCUUUCACUUAUGAGAGAGUGACGGUAUCUGCGGAAUAAGCACCGGCUAACUCCGUGCCAGCAGCCGCGGUAAUACGGAGGGUGCAAGCGUUAUCCGGAAUCACUGGGUUUAAAGGGUGCGUAGGCGGGGGAUUAAGUCAGUGGUGAAAGCCUGUAGCUUAACUACAGAAUUGCCAUUGAUACUGAUUUUCUUGAAUUGGGUUGAGGUUAGCGGAAUGUGACAUGUAACGGUGAAAUGUUUAGAUAUGUCAUGGAACACCGAUUGCGAAGGCAGCUAGCUGGGCCUUGAUUGACGCUGAGGCACGAAAGCGUGGGUAGCGAACAGGAUUAGAUACCCCGGUAGU